rnacentral:rRNA from 1 species
AGGUCAAGCAUUAAGAGCGCAGGGUGGAUGCCUUGGCACUGAGAGCCGAUGAAGGACGUGAUAAGCUGCGAAAAGCUUCGGGGAGGAGCAAAUAUCCAUUGAUCCGGAGAUAUCCGAAUGGGGAAACCCACUUGAGCAAACCUCAAGUAUCCAUACGCCAAUCCAUAACGUAUGGAAGGGAACCGGGGGAACUGAAACAUCUAAGUACCCCGAGGAGAAGAAAGAAACCUCGAUUUCCAAAGUAGCGGCGAGCGAAAUGGAAAGAGCCCAAACCGUGGUGCGUGCACCGCGGGGUUGUGGACUGCAUAAGGUACUCGAAUCAAUAGCCGAACAGUUUUGGGAAAUCUGAUCAGAGAGGGUGAAAAUCCCGUAGGCGAAAUUGAUGAGAGGCUGGCAGGAUCCAGAGUACCACGAGACACGGGAAACCUUGUGGGAAGCAGGAGGGACCACCCUCCAAGGCUAAAUACUCCUCAGUGACCGAUAGCGCAUAGUACUGUGAAGGAAAGGUGAAAAGGACCCCGGGAGGGGAGUGAAAGAGAACCUGAAACCCUGUGUUUACAAGCUGUGGAAGUGCCUUAUGUGCACAACCGCGUACUUUUUGUAGAACGGUCCGGCGAGUUACGUUUACUGGCAAGGUUAAGCACUCAAGGUGCGGAGCCGAAGGGAAACCAAGUCUUAAGAGGGCGUGAAGUCAGUAAGAGUAGACCCGAAACCGGGUGAUCUACCCAUGUCCAGGCUGAAGCUGCCGUAAGAGGUAGUGGAGGGCCGAACGCACAUCCGUUGAAAAGGGUGGCGAUGAGGUGUGGGUAGGGGAGAAAUUCCAAUCGAACCCGGAGAUAGCUGGUUCUCCUCGAAAUAGCUUUAGGGCUAGCCUCGAUGGAGUCUUACGGAGGUAGAGCACUGAAUUUCUAAGGGGGCGUCAAAGCUUACCAAGGGAUAUCAAACUCCGAAUGCCGUAAAGAUGCUCAUCGGGAGUCAGACUGCACGAGAUAAGUUGGGCAGUCAAAAGGGAAAGAGCCCAGACCUGCUGCUAAGGUCCCAAAGUACGUGUUAAGUGGAAAAGGAUGUGGGAUUUCGAAGACAACUAGGAUGUUGGCUCAGAAGCAGCCACACAUUCAAAGAGUGCGUAAUAGCUCACUAGUCGAGAGGUCCUGCGCCGAAAAUGUCCGGGGCUGAAACACGACACCGAAGCACAGGAUACCNNNNNNNNNNNNNNNNNNNNNNNNNNNNNNNNNNNNNNNNNNNNNNNNNNNNNNNNNNNNNNNNNNNNNNNNNNAUGAAGCAGUACCGGAAGGAGCUGUGGAGUGCCAGGAAGAGAGAAUGCCGGAAUGAGUAGCGAGAGAGAGGUGGGAAUCCUCUCGGCCGAAUAUCCAAGGUUUCCAGGGUAAAGCUGAUCUGCCCUGGGUAAGUCGGGGCCUAAGGAGAGGCAGAAAUGCGUAUCCGAUGGACAGCAGGUUGAGAUUCCUGCACUAUCUUAAAACAGAACUGUGGGGACAUUUGUGGAGAGCACAGGCGCGGAACGGAAAGCCGCGUGCAAGCGAAGGAGGAGUCACAUAGGAAAAACCGUGUGGCAAUCCAGAGGCGUGAUGCGGACCGAACUAAAGUAGGGAAGUGUGUGAGCCAUGAAUCAAGAAAAGCCGCUAUUGUUUUUAAGAUACCCGUACCGUAAACCGACACAGGUGGAUGAGGAGAGAAUCCUAAGGCCGGCGGAAGAAGCAUUGUUAAGGAACUCGGCAAAAUGACCCCGUAACUUCGGGAGAAGGGGUGCCAACGAGAGUUGGCCGCAGAGAAUAGGCUCAAGCAACUGUUUAGCAAAAACACAGGUCUAUGCAAAACCGUAAGGUGAGGUAUAUGGGCUGACGCCUGCCCGGUGCUGGAAGGUUAAGAGGAGAGGUUAGCGCAAGCGAAGCUUUGAAUUUAAGCCCCAGUAAACGGCGGCCGUAACUAUAACGGUCCUAAGGUAGCGAAAUUCCUUGUCGGGUAAGUUCCGACCCGCACGAAAGGCGUAAUGAUUUGAGCGCUGUCUCGACAAUGCAUCCGGUGAAAUUGAAGUACCAGUGAAGAUGCUGGUUACCCGCGCCAGGACGGAAAGACCCCAUGGAGCUUUACUCCAGUUUGGUACUGGGGUCCGGCAGUGCAUGUACAGGAUAGGUGGGAGGCUGUGAACCUGGAACGCCAGUUUCAGGGGAGCCAUUGUUGGGAUACCACCCUUGUGCUGCUGGGCUUCUAACCAGCGGCCUUUAUCAGGCCGGGGGACAAUGCCAGACGGGGAGUUUGACUGGGGCGGUCGCCUCCGAAAGGGUAUCGGAGGCGCUCAAAGGUUCCCUCAGAAUGGUCGGAAACCAUUCGAAGAGUGCAAAGGCAGAAGGGAGCUUGACUGCGACACCGACGGGUGGAGCAGGUACGAAAGUAGGACUUAGUGAUCCGGUGGUAUUAAGUGGGAAUGCCAUCGCUCAACGGAUAAAAGCUACCCUGGGGAUAACAGGCUUAUCACUCCCAAGAGUUCACAUCGACGGAGUGGUUUGGCACCUCGAUGUCGGCUCAUCGCAUCCUGGGGCUGUAGUAGGUCCCAAGGGUUGGGCUGUUCGCCCAUUAAAGCGGUACGCGAGCUGGGUUCAGAACGUCGUGAGACAGUUCGGUCCCUAUCCGGCGUGGGCGUAGGAUAUUUGAGAGGAGCUGUCCUUAGUACGAGAGGACCGGGAUGGACUGACCUCUGGUGUACCGGUUGAACCGCCAGGUUCACGGCCGGGUAGCCAAGUCGGGAAGGGAUAAACGCUGAAGGCAUCUAAGCGUGAAGCCCCCCUCAAGAUGAGAUAUCCCAUUCGAAAGAAGUAAGACCCCUUGAAGACGACGAGGUAGAUAGGGCAGAGGUGGAAGUGCCGUAAGGCAUGGAGCUGACUGUUACUAAUCGGUCGAGGGCUUGACCU